rnacentral:rRNA from 1 species
UCCGAGUUGUAAUUUGUAGAGGAUGUUUCGGGCACCGCUCCGGUUUAAAUUUCUUGGAACAGAAUGUCAAAGAGGGUGAGAACCCCGUCUUGGACCGGCAGUAGGGCCCAUGUGAAACUCCUUCGACGAGUCGAGUUGUUUGGGAAUGCAGCUCAAAAUGGGUGGUAAAUUUCAUCUAAAGCUAAAUAUUGGCCAGAGACCGAUAGCGCACAAGUAGAGUGAUCGAAAGAUGAAAAGCACUUUGAAAAGAGAGUUAAACAGUACGUGAAAUUGUUGAAAGGGAAGCGCUUGCAACCAGACUUGCGCGCGGCGGUUCCCCCUUCCUUUUGGUUGGGUUAUUCCGCCGUGUCCAGGCCAACAUCGGUUCUGGGGGUCGGUUAAAGGCCUGGGGAAUGUAUCUACCCUUCGGGCGUAGACUUAUAGCCCCGGGUGUCAUGCGACCUCCCGGGACCGAGGAACGCGCUUCGGCUCGGAUGUUGGCGUAAUGGUUGUCAGCGACCCGUCUUGAAACACGGACCAAGGAGUCUAACAUCUAUGCGAGUGUUUGGGUGUCAAACCCGGAACGCGGAAUGAAAGUGAACGGAGGUAGGAAGCUUCGGCUGCACUAUCGACCGAUCCUGAUGUCUUCGGAUGGAUUUGAGUAAGAGCAUAGCUGUUGGGACCCGAAAGAUGGUGAACUAUGCCUGAAUAGGGUGAAGCCAGAGGAAACUCUGGUGGAGGCUCGCAGCGGUUCUGACGUGCAAAUCGAUCGUCAAAUUUGGGUAUAGGG